rnacentral:misc_RNA from 1 species
GAUGAAGAACGCAGCGAAAUGCGAUAAGUAAUGUGAAUUGCAGAAUUCAGUGAAUCAUCGAAUCUUUGAACGCACAUUGCACCCGCCAGUAUUCUGGCGGGCAUGCCUGUUCGAGCGUCAUUACAACCCUCAGGCCCCCGGGCCUGGCGUUGGGGAUCGGCGGAAGCCCCCUGUGGGCACACGCCGUCCCUCAAAUACAGUGGCGGUCCCGCCGCAGCUUCCAUUGCGUAGUAGCUAACACCUCGCAACUGGAGAGCGGCGCGGCCAUGCCGUAAAACACCCAACUUCUGAAUGUUGACCUCGAAUCAGGUAGGAGUACCCGCUGAACUUAAGCAUAUCAAUAAGCGGAGGA